UUCCCUUCGGGGUGGGAGGAGGAAAGGGUUAAAUGAGUUAGCUUAUCCUGGCAGCGCGAGUAGGGCCCCUCCGCUUCCGUAAUCCCACAGCCAAGCGAGAUCCCGGGGGAGAUAAAGACCCUAGCUCCCAGCAGACCAUUACUUGUCAGGAGACGGAGGGAUCGCCUGACAAGUAAGCAUGAGAUCGCUUGGGCCCUUGGGUAUGGGUUAAUCUAACCAGUCCAGUUAAUCUAAGCAGGCCAAACCCUCCAUGGCGGGGGCGGAAAGAGAAGACGCCUAGAACUCUGUAAGCCCCAGAGCCGGAGAUCUAGCACCUGGAAGGUGGGGACCGUAAUUUGAAAAGUAAAGAAGUGGUUCCGAAAUUGAGGUCCGAGGACCCGGAUAUCCGCAAGGGGUCGGCCAGGAGCACAGAUGCCAGUAUGCCUCGCGCUCCAAGGAUUUGGGGAACCCAGGAGCCUCGGCCUUCUGGAGCGGGGUCUUGACUACAGAUCCCGAAAUGCCCUGGGACUCGAAAGGGACAGCGCAGUGGGAGGAACCCCGGGAGUACGGUCCCCCGCGCGCCCCGGCAGGCGCUCACCUUGAAGGAGCCGUGGAACUCGUCGCUCAUCCUCCGGAGCUCGCGGCCAUAGCGCUGUGCAGCCCAGAGGAGACCUUGGGCCCCCAGAGAACAAGAACCUGUCAGCAGCAUAUCUGUACCUCCCACAGCACCCACUCUGGUAAAGUUUCCAGAACGUUCUGUUGACUAGAUGAGAAGACAGAGGCUUACAGAGGUUGAGACUUGCCCAGAGUCACACAGCUGUGGAGCUCUGAGGCUAGAAGCCCCUAGAGGUUUGUUGGAAUCCAGAGUCCAGUGAUUAUCCACUGAGCUACCCUUCUUCCCUUGUCCAACCAUCCUUCAACUCCCUGAGCCUGCGUCCUCACCUCUCUGUGGGGAUAAACCUAGUCCUUACUACCAGUGACUGCAUAAGGGUCACCUAAAGAGCGUGAAAGUGCUUUUUUAAGCUGAAGGGGCAUGAUGGAUCAUUAUUUAAAGAGGUGUGUCCUGGACUUCCCUGGUGGCGCAGUGGUUAAGAAUCUGCCUGCCAAUGCAGGAGACACGGGUUUGAGCCCUCCACCAGGAGGAUCCCAUGUGCCAUGGAGCAACUAAGCCCAUGCACCACAACUACUGAGCCUGUGCUUUAGAGCCUGUGUGCCUAGAGCCUGUGCUCUGCAACAAGAGAAGCCCCUGCAAUGAGAAGCCUGCGCACUGCAACGAAGAGCAGUCCCUGUUUGCCACAACCAGAGAAAGCCCGUGUGCAGCAACAAAGACCCAAUGCAGCCAAAAAUUAAAAACAAAAACAAAAAACCCAAAGAGGUGUGUCCUGAGUGUCUGACCUGUGUACUGUGUGCCAACCCCUGAACUCCUGCCAACCCCACCCCCAUACCCAAAGAAAGACCUAGAACACUCCCAGGAGCAAAAAUCCAGAGCUAAGUAUAGAGUGAAAGCAAGACACG